ACGGUAGAGGGGGCAACCCCUUGAGAGUGGCGAACGGGUGAGUAAUAUAUCGGAACGUGCCCAGUCGUGGGGGAUAACGUAGCGAAAGUUACGCUAAUACCGCAUACGAUCUACGGAUGAAAGCGGGGGACUCGCAAGAGCCUCGCGCGAUUGGAGCGGCCGAUAUCAGAUUAGGUAGUUGGUGGGGUAAAGGCUCACCAAGCCAACGAUCUGUAGCUGGUCUGAGAGGACGACCAGCCACACUGGAACUGAGACACGGUCCAGACUCCUACGGGAGGCAGCAGUGGGGAAUUUUGGACAAUGGACGCAAGUCUGAUCCAGCCAUUCCGCGUGCAGGAUGAAGGCCCUCGGGUUGUAAACUGCUUUUGUACGGAACGAAAAGGUUUCUAUUAAUACUAGGAGCUCAUGACGGUACCGUAAGAAUAAGCACCGGCUAACUACGUGCCAGCAGCCGCGGUAAUACGUAGGGUGCAAGCGUUAAUCGGAAUUACUGGGCGUAAAGCGUGCGCAGGCGGUUAUGUAAGACAGAGGUGAAAUCCCCGGGCUCAACCUGGGAACUGCCUUUGUGACUGCAUAGCUAGAGUACGGUAGAGGGGGAUGGAAUUCCGCGUGUAGCAGUGAAAUGCGUAGAUAUGCGGAGGAACACCGAUGGCGAAGGCAAUCCCCUGGACCUGUACUGACGCUCAUGCACGAAAGCGUGGGGAGCAAACAGGAUUAGAUACCCUGGUAGUCCACGCCCUAAACGAUGUCAACUGGUUGUUGGGUCUUCACUGACUCAGUAACGAAGCUAACGCGUGAAGUUGACCGCCUG
rnacentral:rRNA from 1 species